rnacentral:tRNA from 1 species
GGUAAAAUGGCUGAGAUUAUUAGGUAGUAGAUUGUAAAUCUAUUAAGGGGAUUAUAUUCCCUUUUACCA